rnacentral:rRNA from 1 species
UACGAAGGGGGCUAGCGUUGUUCGGAAUUACUGGGCGUAAAGCGCACGUAGGCGGAUAUUUAAGUCAGGGGUGAAAUCUCAGAGCUCAACUCUGGAACUGCCUUUGAUACUGGGUAUCUUGAGUAUGGAAGAGGUGAGUGGAAUUCCGAGUGUAGAGGUGAAAUUCGUAGAUAUUCGGAGGAACACCAGUGGCGAAGGCGCCUCACUGGUCCAUUACUGACGCUGAGGUGCGAAAGCGUGGGGAGCAAACAGG